AAUGAACGUUGGCGGCAUGGAUUAGGCAUGCAAGUCGAGCGAGAAGUGUAGCAAUACACGGAAAGCGGCGGAAGGGAGAGUAAUACGUGGGAAUCUGCCCUUAGACCUGGGAUAGCAGCGGGAAACUGCUGGUAAUACCAGAUAAUGUCUAUGGACCAAAGGUGUGAUUCCGUCUAGGGAUGAGCCCACGUCCUAUUAGCUAGUUGGUAGGGUAAUGGCCUACCAAGGCGAUGAUGGGUAGCGGGUGUGAGAGCAUGACCCGCCUCACUGGGACUGAGACACUGCCCCGACACCUACGGGUGGCUGCAGUCGAGAAUCUUCGGCAAUGGGCGCAAGCCUGACCGAGCGAUGCCGCGUGCGGGAUGAAGGCCUUCGGGUUGUAAACCGCUGUCAAGGGGGAGCAACUUCCAUAGAGUUAUCUUUAUGGAUUGAGUGAUCCCUGGAGGAAGGACGGGCUAAGUUCGUGCCAGCCGCCGCUGUAA
rnacentral:rRNA from 1 species